rnacentral:rRNA from 1 species
UACGAAGGGGGCUAGCGUUGUUCGGAAUUACUGGGCGUAAAGCGCACGUAGGCGGAUUGUUAAGUCAGAGGUGAAAUCCCGGAGCUCAACUUCGGAACUGCCUUUGAUACUGGCAAUCUAGAGUCCGGAAGAGGUUAGUGGAAUUCCUGGUGUAGCGGUGAAAUGCGCAGAUAUCAGGAAGAACACCGGUGGCGAAGGCGACCUUCUGGGCCGUUUCUGACGCUGAGGUACGAAAGCGUGGGGAGCAAACAGG